AUAGCGUAUAUUAAAGUUGUUGUGGUUAAAAAGCUCGUAGUUGAACCUUGGGCCUGGCUGGCCGGUCCCCCUCACCGGGUGCACUGAUCCAGCCGGGUCUUUCCCGCUGUGGAACCCCAUGGCCUUCACUGGUCGUGGCGGGGAAACAGGACUUUUACUUUGAAAAAAUUAGAGUGUUCCAAGCAGGCCUAUGCCCGAAUACAUUAGCAUGGAAUAAUAAAAUAGGACGUGCGGUUCUAUUUUGUUGGUUUCUAGAGCCGCCGUAAUGAUUAAUAGGGACAGUCGGGGGCAUCAGUAUUCAAUUGUCAGAGGUGAAAUUCUUGGAUCUAUUGAAGACUAACUACUG
rnacentral:rRNA from 1 species